CCGGCCGCAAGCGGCGCUCGCAAAGUUCGGAUCCGCAAGGACCGGGCCAGCGGGACGUCCCAGUGGCAGGGUGCACUUUCUCCGCGGUCGAGUGCUACGACCGGUUUCGAGGCGGUCAGAAGCCCGGCGGAAAGGUAGCGCCGCCCUUCGGGGUGUCGUGUUAUAGGCCGCCGCGGUGGACUCGCCGCGAGACCGAGGACGCUUGCCGCGCCGAGCGGUCCCGGGCCGUCUUGGGAGGUUCGACCUCGGCUGCACUGCUCCGCAGAGCACCGUAACCGCCGCCCUAGCACGGGUCCGGAGACUGCCGGCGCCUCGGGUCAGUAGCG
rnacentral:rRNA from 1 species